rnacentral:RNase_P_RNA from 1 species
AGAGUUAACUAGGCAAUCGCUGCUUUCGUAAGAAAGGAGAGGAAAGUCCGGACUCCAUAGGGCAGGGUGUUGGCUAACAGCCAUCCACGGUGACGUGCGGAAUAGGGCCACAGAGACGAGCGUAUUGAGUUACGGUGAAACGCGGCAACCUCCACUCGGAGCAAUCCCAAGUAAGCAAAUGUUGACAUGGCCCGUCGAGUUUGCGGGUAGGGAGCUUGAGCCUGUAGGUAACUGCAGGCCUAGAGGAAUGAUUGCCCCUUAAUGCAAAUUAGGGCGACAGAAUCCGGCUUAUCGGUUAACUCUGCAC